rnacentral:rRNA from 1 species
AGAGUUUGAUCCUGGCUCAGAUUGAACGCUGGCGGCAUGCUUUACACAUGCAAGUCGAGCGGCAGCGGCGGGGGCAACCCUGGCGGCGAGCGGCGAACGGGUGAGUAAUGCAUCGGAACGUGUCCCGUAGUGGGGGAUAACCCGGCGAAAGCCGGGCUAAUACCGCAUAUGCUCUACGGAGGAAAGGGGGGAUCCGCAAGGACCUCUCGCUAUGGGAGCGGCCGAUGUCCGAUUAGCUUGUUGGUGGGGUAAUGGCUUACCAAGGCGACGAUCGGUAGCUGGUCUGAGAGGAUGAUCAGCCACACUGGGACUGAGACACGGCCCAGACUCCUACGGGAGGCAGCAGUGAGGAAUUUUGGACAAUGGGGCAACCCUGAUCCAGCCAUGCCGCGUGCGGGAAGAAGGCCUUCGGGUUGUAAACCGCUUUUAGUCGGGAAGAAAAGGCCUGGGCGAAUACCCUGGGUUUUUGACGGUACCGGCGGAAUAAGCACCGGCUAACUACGUG